AUUGAACGCUGGCGGCAGGCCUAACACAUGCAAGUCGAACGAGUGGCGGACGGGUGAGUAAUGUCUGGGAAACUGCCUGAUGGAGGGGGAUAACUACUGGAAACGGUAGCUAAUACCGCAUACCAUCAGAUGUGCCCAGAUGGGAUUAGCUAGUUGGUGGGGUAACGGAUCACCAAGGCGACGAUCCCUAGCUGGUCUGAGAGGAUGACCGGCCAAACUGGAACUGAGACACGGUCCAGACUCCGACGGGAGGCAGCAGUGGGGAAUAUUGCGCAAUGGUCGAAAGUCUGAUGCAGCCAUGCGGCGGGUGUGAAGAAGGUCUUCGGGUUGUAAAUCACUUUCAGGAGGGAGGCGGUACCCAAAGAAAAAGCACCGGCUAACUCCGUGCCAGCAGCCGCGGUAAUAC
rnacentral:rRNA from 1 species